GCACCCUGAACAGGUUUCAACAAGGUGUCACGUUAAGCACAUUCUCAUGAGUCACUGCUGAAAAAACUGAUCAGUGGAUGGCAGAAGGGAAAACACAUCAAAGGAGGAAUUCCGAAGAGAGAUUCCUCACCACUACAGGAGUCAAAGCUCUGGGUGGUAGUGAGGAUUGUGUUUUCAUGAAGCUGAGGAUUCAAGAGAUAAAUUGGACACUUCCGAGAUUAGAGCGAGCUGCUAAGUGUGAGAAGACUUACAUCUUUGCUACCUCACUUAGGUCAUAAAGCAAUACUUUCUUCUGUACUUCUUGUGUAUAAAUGUAAAAUUGAUGUGUAUUUAAGAUAUCAGUAUCAGUCUACCACUCUGUGAUAUUUGUAAUCUUGCUUUACAUGCAGUAUUCAGCAUAGUUUUAUCUAUAGACUUGCUAGGGUAUCUAGAAAGAAAGAGGGCAAGUGUGUUUGUGUAUACAAACACGCUCCCACUCUCCAUUUCCUUUAUAAGAUUGUAAACUAACAUGGGUUAGAAGGGACCUCUGAAGGUCAUCUAAUCCAACCUUCUGCUCAAAGCAGGGCUGACUUCAGAUUUGGAUCAGGUUACUUGGGGCCAUGGCUAGCUGAGUUUUGAAAAUCUCCCAAGUAUUUUAUAGAAUUUUGAAAUGUUGUUUAAUGGAAAAUAGGAUCCAGAUUGUAAGAUUCAUCUUGCAUUACUGUUUUCGAUUUUUCUUUUUUUUUACUGUUAUUGUAGUAGUCAAAGUCCUGAGUCAUGUUUUUUAAGGUAUGUGACCUGACAGCAUGGGAAUGCUUAAAAUAUACUUAUGUGGACACCUAAAUUGUACAACUACAGAGAGUUACUGAUUUUAAUUGCUUUGUCUGUGCUAAAUAAAAGUGUGUGCAUGUGGAGAA